GACGAACGCUGGCGGCGUGCUUAACACAUGCAAGUCGAGCGGUAAGGCCCUUUCGGGGGUACACGAGCGGCGAACGGGUGAGUAACACGUGGGUGACCUGCCCUCAGCUCUGGGAUAAGCCUGGGAAACCGGGUCUAAUACCGGAUAUGACUCCAUGACGCAUGUUGUGGGGUGGAAAGCCUUGUGCGGCUGAGGAUGGGCCCGCGGCCUAUCAGCUUGUUGGUGGGGGAUGGCCUACCAAGGCGACGACGGGUAGCCGGCCUGAGAGGGCGACCGGCCACACUGGGACUGAGACACGGCCCAGACUCCUACGGGAGGCAGCAGUGGGAAUCUUGCGCAAUGGGCGAAAGCCUGACGCAGCGACGCCGCGU
rnacentral:rRNA from 1 species